AUGUGCCUGUUCAGUGUCAAAUCUAUCCAUAAGCGAACAGCAGUUAGUGAAAGUAACAACUGAGAAGAAGACAUAACAGUGACAACAGCUUUUUAUUAUAAAAAAAAACUAGAAGUAAGAGGCGAGUUCAAAAAGAAAAACAGCACAAAUAACAGAUUGUGGCAAAUAAUCAAGAAACCUAGUGGUGUAAAUUCAAACCGAAAAAA